CACAUCUUGUUUCUGAUCAGACUCCACAAAGACACUCAGACAUUUAAUAGUAAUCACCAUCAUGAAAAAUAGAUCAUCCUCCUUGUCUUAAAGCCUCACAUCUACAAGAGAGUAGAGCUAGAAGAGAAGCAGACCAGUCAAAGGGAAAGAAAAUACCUCAGAGAUAAGAGCUUCAGUGGCAGAAUUCAGAAGCCGUAAAAGUAGCAAAAGGAAUGACCGUUGGAUGUGAAGUCUUCCUAAUGCACGCAUGUAACUGCUCGAUCACAGCUGCAAGAAGAGCG
rnacentral:lncRNA from 1 species